UACGGGGGGGAGCAAGCGUUUGUUCGGAUUUACUGGGCGUAAAGGGCGCGUAGGCGGUCAGCACAAGUCAGUUGUGAAAUCUCCGGGCUUAACCCGGAAAGGUCAACUGAUACUGUGCGACUAGAGUCCGGAAGAGGCAAGUGGAAUUCCCGGUGUAGCGGUGAAAUGCGCAGAUAUCGGGAGGAACACCAAUUGCGAAGGCAGCUUGCUGGGACGGUACUGACGCUGAGGCGCGAAAGCGUGGGGAGCAAACAGGG
rnacentral:rRNA from 1 species